AAUUUUCUAAGGUUAUAUUAUUUUUUAUUUUAAAUUUAUAUUUUUGUUGAAAAUAACAAAAAUUCCUCUAAGACUAAAAGACCCUAAAAUUUUUAUAAAUUUUUUUAUUUGAUUGGGGCAAUAUUUAAUUAAA
rnacentral:rRNA from 1 species